AGGUACGGACGCAUUUUGGGAGGCCGAAAUGGAAGAAGGUUUUAUCAAAGAUUAGCACCAAACAUAGGAACGCAAGAAUAGGAGUGUUCUAUUGUGGAGUACCGAGCUUGGGAAAGGAACUUGCAACACUCUGCCAUGAAUUUAACCAGACGGGUUGCUCCAGGUUCGAGUUCCACAAAGAACAGUUCUAAAGGAAAAAACAAUAGUCCCUCACGUUUAUUGUUUUUGGAUGAAAUCGAAUCAAGGAAGAAUAUAUGUAAAUUGUUCAUGCAAUGUUCUUUUCUCAUAUCCUUGUUGUUUUUUUCUUUUCCUUUGGUGUAUGUAUCACACAUUUUAACCAUUUUAUCUUAGAGUAGGAUGGUCAAAAAUGUUAAAAAAUCACGGUUAAAGCUUGUGAAAAAAAAAGACAAAUAGAAAAAGAAAAAGUUCGCACAA